AACGGCCAUACCAUUCUGAAUAUACCGGUUCUCGUUAGAUCACCGAAGUCAAGCAUCAAUGGGUGCGGUCAGUAAUUGAGUGGAUGACACCUGGGAACACCGUGGGCCGU